GCACGCGUAGCUUAAACCAAAGCAUAACACUGAAGAUGUUAAGAUGAGCCCUAAAAAGCUUCGUGGGCA
rnacentral:tRNA from 1 species